rnacentral:rRNA from 1 species
GGAAUUGUUCGCAAUGGGCGCAAGCCUGACGACGCAACGCCGCGUGGAGGAUGAAGAUCUUCGGGUCGUAAACUCCCUUCGAUCGAGACGAACGGCCUCCGGGUGAACAAUCCGGAGGAGUGACGGUACCGAGAGAAGAAGCUCCGGCUAACUCCGUACCAGCAGCCGCGGGAAUACGGGGGGGGCAAGCGUCGUUCGGAAUUACUGGGCGUAAAGGGCUCGUAGGUGGCCAACUAAGUCGGACGUGAAAUCCCUCGGCUCAACCGGGGAACUGCGUCCGAUACUGGAUGGCUUGAGUUUGGGAGAGGGAUGCGGAAUUCCAGGUGUAGCGGUGAAAUGCGUAGAUAUCUGGAGGAACACCGGUGGCGAAGGCGGCAUCCUGGACCAACACUGACACUGAGGAGCGAAAGCCAGGGGAGCAAAC